UGCUCUCCAGCGUGGAAGGUGCUCGACGUAUUUUUUGCAAGGAUGUUGCUGCGAAUUUGGUGCUCUAUUGCUUGAUAAGUCUUUUGAAAUAGAUUGCUCUUUGGUGCGAGAGGUGCUUAACAUUUUGUUUGCAAGGGCUACUGCUGCAAAGUUGCUGCCCCAUUGCUUGAUAGGUCUGCUGGCGUAGUGAAAUGGAGGCAGAAAUUCUGGAUGGGAAAGCUUCAACUUCAGGUUGUCCUGAAAUAACUGACAUGGAUUUGUAUGAAGUCUUGUAUAAAUCCACGUCGCUUAUUUCAGAACGGAGGGAGUGCGAUGGGUUUUAGCAUAACACGACAUCUAGCAUUUUGACUCCUUAUCCUCAAUCAGCAUUGCAGGAACCAAUGAUUCAGCAAACAUCCAAGAAAGGAGAGAGGAUAACCACAAUAAAAGAAACGUAUUAGCAUCCAUGUUUGAUAGUGUAUUUAUUCUUUUUUGCCUGUUCUAAUUAACAG